CCUACGGGGGGCAGCAGUGGGGAAUAUUGGACAAUGGGGGGAACCCUGAUCCAGCCAUGCCGCGUGUGUGAAGAAGGCCCUCGGGUUGUAAAGCACUUUCAGUGAGGAAGAACGCCUGGUGGUUAAUACCCAUCAGGAAAGACAUCACUCACAGAAGAAGCACCGGCUAACUCCGUGCCAGCAGCCGCGGUAAUACGGAGGGUGCGAGCGUUAAUCGGAAUUACUGGGCGUAAAGCGCGUGUAGGUGGCUUGAUAAGCCGGUUGUGAAAGCCCCGGGCUCAACCUGGGAACGGCAUCCGGAACUGUCAAGCUAGAGUGCAGGAGAGGAAGGUAGAAUUCCCGGUGUAGCGGUGAAAUGCGUAGAGAUCGGGAGGAAUACCAGUGGCGAAGGCGGCCUUCUGGACUGACACUGACACUGAGGUGCGAAAGCGUGGGUAGCAAACAGGAUUAGAUACCCGGGUAGUC
rnacentral:rRNA from 1 species